GGAGAGGUGCCAGAGUGGUCGAAUGGGACGGUCUCGAAAACCGUUGUAGGCUCCGGUCUACCGUGGGUUCGAAUCCCACCCUCUCCGCCA
rnacentral:tRNA from 2 species